UGAGUCGGCCAGACGGUCGCGUCAGGGUGCGGGUCCUCGGACCCGGAUCCUGCCGAGGAAAGUCCGGGCUCCACAGGGCACGGUGGUGGCUAACGGCCACCCGGGGUGACCCGCGGGACAGUGCCACAGAGAGUAGACAGCCUCAGGUUCGCCUGGGGUGAUGGUGAAAGGGUGGUGUAAGAGACCACCAGCAGUCCUGGUGACAGGACUGGCUAGGUAAACCCCACCGGGAGCAAGCCCGAGCAGUGUGUGUCUGACGGCGGCCCGCCGGAGCACACGGGUAGGGCGCUGGAGGCGACCAGCAAUGGUCGUCCGAGAUGGAUGACCGUCCACGACAGAACCCGGCUUACCGGCCGACUCAUCCG
rnacentral:RNase_P_RNA from 1 species